UGCGUAGGCGGAUUAAUAAGUCAGUGGUGAAAUCUCUCGGCUCAACCGGGAAACUGCCAUUGAUACUGUUAAUCUUGAGUUCGGUUGAGGUAGGCGGAAUGUGUAAUGUAGCGGUGAAAUGCUUAGAUAUUACACAGAACACCAAUUGCGUAGGCAGCUUACUAGACCGACACUGACGCUGAGGCACGAAAGCGUGGGCAGCGAACAGGAUUAGAUACCCUGGUAGUCC
rnacentral:rRNA from 1 species